rnacentral:tRNA from 1 species
UGGCUCAGACGGUAAAGCGUCUGCCCACAAUGCAGGAGACCCGGGUUCGAUUCCUGG